UAAGGCUCUAGAUGGUGUUGUGCAC
rnacentral:piRNA from 1 species